AACUGCGAAUGGCUCAUUAAAUCAGUUAUGGUUUCUUUGAUGGU
rnacentral:rRNA from 1 species